UACCAGCCGCGGUAAUUCCAGCUCCAUUAGCGUAUAUUAAAGUUGUUGCAGUUAAAAAGCUCGUAGUUGGAUUUCAGUACGGGCCAGUUGGUCGGCCGCAAGGCCUGUUACUGACUGGUCUGUUCUUCUUCUCAAAGACUGCGCGUGCUCUUCGUUGAGUGUGUGUAGGAUUUGGGACGUUUACUUUGAAAAAAUUAGAGUGUUCAAGGCAGGCUUGUAAGCUUGAAUACAUGAGCAUGGAAUAAUGGAAUAGGACUACGGUCCCUAUUUCGUUGGUUUCGAGGACCGAAGUAAUGAUUAAGAGGGACAGUUGGGGGCAUCCGUAUUUCGUAGUCAGAGGUGAAAUUCUUGGAUCUACGAAAGACGAACAACUGCGAAAGCAUUUGCCAAGAGUGUUUUC
rnacentral:rRNA from 1 species